rnacentral:rRNA from 1 species
GACGGAGGGGGCGAGCGUUGUUCGGAAUUAUUGGGCGUAAAGGGCUCGUAGGCGGAUCCGCCAGUCUGACGUGAAAUCUCCACCGCUCACCGGGGAGGGGCCGUUGGAUACUACGGAUCUGGAGUUCGGCAGAGGACCAUGGAAUUUCGGGUGUAGCGGUGGAAUGCGUAGAUAUCAGGAGGAACACCGAUGGCGAAGGCAGAUCUCUGGGCCGUAACUGACGCUGAUGGACGAAAGCGUGGGGAGCGAACAGG